rnacentral:rRNA from 1 species
UACGGAGGGGGCUAGCGUUGUUCGGAAUUACUGGGCGUAAAGCGCACGUAGGCGGCUUUGUAAGUCAGGGGUGAAAGCCUGGAGCUCAACUCCAGAACUGCCUUUGAGACUGCAUCGCUUGAAUCCGGGAGAGGUGAGUGGAAUUCCGAGUGUAGAGGUGAAAUUCGUAGAUAUUCGGAAGAACACCAGUGGCGAAGGCGGCUCACUGGACCGGGAUUGACGCUGAGGUGCGAAAGCGUGGGGAGCAAACGGG